CCGAUGAAAAUAGCAUCACCUGAUGAAACUCUUAGAAUGAAAAUGCAACUAAAAAGUGAUAAGUGAACAAUGUAAAGUGAAAGCAAUACUGACAUAUGUAAUGGUAAGUACUUUAGUGACAAGUACAAGUGAUUGUCAGAAAGUAUAAGUGCAAGUGUUAUGAAACCAAUGAACAACAUUAUUUAUUUAUGUAAAUAUGAUGCUAGGAUAUCUGUGACGUCUAUGAAAUCAUAUGU
rnacentral:lncRNA from 1 species